rnacentral:rRNA from 1 species
UCCUGGCUCAGGAUGAACGCUGGCGGCGUGCUUAACACAUGCAAGUCGAACGGAACAUUCCACCCGAAGAGGAAAGAAGCUUGCUUCGGACUGAUUCAACCGGAAUGUUUAGUGGCGGACGGGUGAGUAACGCGUGGGUAACCUACCUUACACAGGGGGAUAACAGUUAGAAAUGACUGCUAAUACCGCAUAAGCGCACAGUACCGCAUGGUACAGUGUGAAAAACUCCGGUGGUGUAAGAUGGACCCGCGUCUGAUUAGCUGGUUGGUGAGGUAACGGCCCACCAAGGCGACGAUCAGUAGCCGGCCUGAGAGGGUGAACGGCCACAUUGGAACUGAGACACGGUCCAAACUCCUACGGGAGGCAGCAGUGGGGAAUAUUGCACAAUGGGGGAAACCCUGAUGCAGCGACGCCGCGUGAGUGAAGAAGUAUUUCGGUAUGUAAAGCUCUAUCAGCAGGGAAGAUCAUGACGGUACCUGACUAAGAAGCUCCGGCUAAAUACGUGCC